UCUUUCUCUCAGUUCCUGCACUUCAAAGCAAGCACAUCAAUCCAUAUCAUCAUCAUCAAUUCAAGCUAGGCCUGAAGCCUAAUCUUCUGCAGCCACUAAACCGAGCACAGCUGUGUUACGUGUCUAUAGAAUCUUCACUGUGUCCAAAGAACUCUGAAGUAUAAAACAGGCUGUAACUCAGAUAAUAGUAUAGAUGGACAACAGACAGGAGGGGGACGUUUAAUAGUGGAUGUGAUUCCGAUUGCUCACCUUCAGGCCUCCAUUGUCUUGGGACACCCUGCG